GAUGAAGAACGUAGCGAAAUGCGAAAAGUAAUGUGAAUUGCAGAAUUCAGUGAAUCAUCGAAUCUUUGAACGCACAUUGCGCCCCUUGGUAUUCCGAGGGGCAUGCCUGUUCGAGCGUCAUAUUAACCACUCCCGCUUGCGGGGUCUUGGGCUUCGCCUCCGGGCGGGCCUUAAAAUCAGUGGCGGUGCCGUCGGGCUCUACGCGUAGUAAAUUUUCUCGCGAUAGGAUCCCGGUGGAUGCUUGCCAACAACCCCCAACUUCUUAAGGUUGACCUCGGAUCAGGUAGGGAUACCCGCUGAACUUAAGCAUAUCAAUAAGCGGAGGA
rnacentral:misc_RNA from 1 species